CCUACGGGGGGCUGCAGUGGGGAAUAUUGGACAAUGGGGGGAACCCUGAUCCAGCCAUGCCGCGUGUGUGAAGAAGGCCCUCGGGUUGUAAAGCACUUUCAGUGAGGAAGAACGCCUGGUGGUUAAUACCCAUCAGGAAAGACAUCACUCACAGAAGAAGCACCGGCUAACUCCGUGCCAGCAGCCGCGGUAAUACGGAGGGUGCGAGCGUUAAUCGGAAUUACUGGGCGUAAAGCGAGCGUAGGUGGCUUGAUAAGCCGGUUGUGAAAGCCCCGGGCUCAACCUGGGAACGGCAUCCGGAACUGUCAAGCUAGAGUGCAGGAGAGGAAGGUAGAAUUCCCGGUGUAGCGGUGAAAUGCGUAGAGAUCGGGAGGAAUACCAGUGGCGAAGGCGGCCUUCUGGACUGACACUGACACUGAGGUGCGAAAGCGUGGGUAGCAAACAGGAUUAGAUACCCUAGUAGUC
rnacentral:rRNA from 1 species